rnacentral:rRNA from 1 species
CGGCGGACGGGUGAGUAACGCGUGGGUAACCUGCCUCAUACAGGGGGAUAACAGUUAGAAAUGACUGCUAAUACCGCAUAAGCGCGCAGUACCGCAUGGUACGGUGUGAAAAACUCCGGUGGUAUGAGAUGGACCCGCGUCUGAUUAGCUAGUUGGUGGGGUAACGGCCCACCAAGGCGACGAUCAGUAGCCGACCUGAGAGGGUGACCGGCCACAUUGGGACUGAGACACGGCCCAG